rnacentral:rRNA from 1 species
AGCGGAGGGAUCAUUACCGAGUUUACAACUCCCAAACCCCUGUGAACAUACCUAUACGUUGCCUCGGCGGAUCAGCCCGCGCCCCGUAAAACGGGACGGCCCGCCCGAGGACCCCUAAACUCUGUUUUUAGUGGAACUUCUGAGUAAAACAAACAAAUAAAUCAAAACUUUCAACAACGGAUCUCUUGGUUCUGGCAUCGAUGAAGAACGCAGCAAAAUGCGAUAAGUAAUGUGAAUUGCAGAAUUCAGUGAAUCAUCGAAUCUUUGAACGCACAUUGCGCCCGCCAGUAUUCUGGCGGGCAUGCCUGUUCGAGCGUCAUUUCAACCCUCAAGCUCAGCUUGGUGUUGGGACUCGCGGUAACCCGCGUUCCCCAAAUCGAUUGGCGGUCACGUCGAGCUUCCAUAGCGUAGUAAUCAUACACCUCGUUACUGGUAAUCGUCGCGGCCACGCCGUAAAACCCCAACUUCUGAAUGUUGACCUCGGAUCAGGUAGGAAUACCCGCUGAACUUAAGCAUAUAAACCGGGGAA